AACGAACGCUGGCGGCAUGCCUAACACAUGCAAGUCGAACGAAGCCUUCGGGCUUAGUGGCGCACGGGUGCGUAACGCGUGGGAAUCUGCCCUUAGGUUCGGAAUAACAGUUGGAAACGACUGCUAAUACCGGAUGAUGACGAAAGUCCAAAGACUUAUCGCCAGAGGAUGAGCCCGCGUAGGAUUAGCUAGUUGGUGUGGUAAAGGCGCACCAAGGCGACGAUCCUUAGCUGGUCUGAGAGGAUGAUCAGCCACACUGGGACUGAGACACGGCCCAGACUCCUACGGGAGGCAGCAGUGGGGAAUAUUGGACAAUGGGCGAAAGCCUGAUCCAGCAAUGCCGCGUGAGUGAUGAAGGCCCUAGGGUAGUAAAGCUCUUUUACCCGGGAUGAUAAUGACAGUACCGGGAGAAUAAGCCCCGGCUAACUCCGUGCCAGCAGCCGCGGUAA
rnacentral:rRNA from 1 species